UAUUUAUUUAAUGAUUGAUUUAAUCAUUUAAUGAUUGAUUCUAAAAUACUUUAUUAUAGUUCAAACUAUAAAGGCAAUAUAAAGUAAACGUUAUAAAUAACCUGAAGAAGAAAAAGCAGGAUAUUUUUGCCAUAGCAUUGACAGAAGUGAAAAUGACACAUUUAACUGUCCGACUACCAGAUUUACUAAUAUGUAAAAAAUCCCAGCAGUGGCGCAGGAUACUUGUUAAUUGUGGGGGGCACAAAUUUAUAUAUGCAUGUCUUAAUCCAUUGAAAACAAUGGAUUUCAAAGGAGCUUAAUGUGGCAGAACAUGAAUAUAUGAAUAUGUGCCUCCUACCCAAAAUAAAGAGUCUGCUAUGCCAUUUAUUCCCAGGGCAUCUUGAAGAGCUCUGGCAUUGUGUGUAACAGUUAGUAUUUCAUUUUGCAAGGAACUUCUUCUUAUUUUUUUUCCAAAACAUUAUUUGAACAUUAGAGAAAUUGUGUACAAACUAUAGAAAGUUUAUAUUAGGAAUAUAUUUCUAGGGCAACACCCUCCUUUAAAGUAUGUAUCCAUGUUCAGGAGUGAAUGACAUGACCAGACAUUUUUGGCUAAUGUCUUUACAACUGAUAAGAACAGUAAAUGAGUCAUUUCUACUGGUGUCUUUACUAUAUGUUUGUAAAUGUAGAUCGUCCAGAGGACAGCUUCCUUGAGGUAGCAUCAGUUCAAAAGCAAAAGGAAAAUGCAAAUGCUAUUGAUAUAAGGAUGACAGCCUUGGAACGAAUGGGCGAAACAUGCAAGAGAAAAUCUGAUGGGCAAAACUCAGAUGUUAAGCUUAAGAAAGUACGCCGCGGAAGUUGUGAAUUAGUCGAAUAUUUGAGAGAAAGAUGAAGCAAGCAAAUUGAAAUCCGUCGUGCAGAACUAGAAGUAAAGCGAAAUGGGCAAGAAAUACAAAAUCAAUUGAGUACCCAAGCAGCUACACAACAAACAGAAGUCUUAAAAAUGAUGCAACAACAAAAUCUAAAAAUGAUGGAGAGCCAAGCUUUACUUCUUCAGCAACAACAGCAAUUGUCAACAGCAUUUCUUGACAUUAUUUAGAGGUUCACAACCAAGUAAGAUUGUGUUGUCACUUACAAGGAAAGAAUUCUUAACUGUUGUGUUUUAGCAAUCUGUGUAACUAUGAACUUUUAAUGUUUUGUUAUUUGAAUUAUAAUAACUUUCUCACUUA